UACAGAGGGUGCAAGCGUUAAUCGGAGUUACUGGGCGUAAAGGGCGCGUAGGCGGUUAUUUAAGUUGGAUGUGAAAACCCUGGGCUUAACCUAGGACUGGCAUUCAAAACUGGGUGACUGGAGUAUUGUAGAGGGUAGUGGAAUUUCCGGUGUAGCGGUGAAAUGCGUAGAGAUCGGAAGGAACACCAGUGGCGAAGGCGGCAGCCUGGACCGAUACUGACGCUGAGGUGCGAAAGCGUGGGGAGCAAACAGG
rnacentral:rRNA from 1 species